GUAACGACGUGGACAAUCCUGGCCCCCCGGCCCCGGGGAUAGGACCCAGGGAAACCUGGAUUAAUACCGGAUGAGACGGGACCCGCGAUGGCGGGACCCGGGAAAGGCGCUGCGGCGCCGCCGGGGGAUGAGUCUGCGUCCCAUUAGCUAGACGGCGGGGUAACGGCCCACCGUGGCGACGAUGGGUAGCCGGCCUGAGAGGGUGGACGGCCACAUUGGAACUGAGACACGGUCCAGACUCCUACGGGAGGCAGCAGCUAAGAAUCUUCCGCAAUGGGCGAAAGCCUGACGGAGCGAACCGCCGCGUGAACGAAGAAGGCCGUGAGGUUGUAAAGUUCUUUUCGGGAGGGGGAACAACCGUGGCAGGGAAUGGCCGCGGGAUGACGUGAAUCCCGGAAUAAGCCCCGGCUAACUACGUGCCAGCCGCGGC
rnacentral:rRNA from 1 species